rnacentral:rRNA from 1 species
UACGAAGGGGGCUAGCGUUGCUCGGAAUCACUGGGCGUAAAGCGCACGUAGGCGGCUUUCUAAGUCAGGGGUGAAAUCCUGGAGCUCAACUCCAGAACUGCCUUUGAUACUGGAGAGCUUGAGUCCGGAAGAGGUGAGUGGAACUCCGAGUGUAGAGGUGAAAUUCGUAGAUACUCGGAAGAACACCAGUGGCGAAGGCGGCUCACUGGUCCGGUACUGACGCUGAGGUGCGAAAGCGUGGGGAGCAAACAGG